AGUGAACGCUGGCGGUAGGCCCAACACAUGCAAGUCGAACGGUAGCACAGUAAGAGCUUGCUCUUACGGGUGGCGAGUGGCGGACGGGUGAGGAAUACAUCGGAAUCUACUUUUUCGUGGGGGAUAACGUAGGGAAACUUACGCUAAUACCGCAUACGACCUACGGGUGAAAGCAGGGGAUCUUCGGACCUUGCGCGAUUGAAUGAGCCGAUGUCGGAUUAGCUAGUUGGCGGGGUAAAGGCCCACCAAGGCGACGAUCCGUAGCUGGUCUGAGAGGAUGAUCAGCCACACUGGAACCGAGACACGGUCCAGACUCCUACGGGAGGCAGCAGUGGGGAAUAUUGGACAAUGGGCGCAAGCCUGAUCCAGCCAUACCGCGUGGGUGAAGAAGGCCUUCGGGUUGUAAAGCCCUUUUGUUGGGAAAGAAAAGCAGCAGGUUAAUACCCCGCUGUUCUGACGGUACCCAAAGAAUAAGCACCGGCUAACUUCGUG
rnacentral:rRNA from 1 species